rnacentral:rRNA from 1 species
UACGGAGGGUGCAAGCGUUAUCCGGAUUCACUGGGUUUAAAGGGUGCGUAGGCGGCUCGCCAAGUGCUUUGUGAAAUCCCACAGCUCAACUGUGGAACAGCAGGGCAAACUGGCGGGCUUGAGGCAGGUAGGGGCCGGAAGAACAGUUGGUGGAGCGGUGAAAUGCGUAGAUAUCAACUGGAAUGCCGAUGGGGAAGCCGUCCGGCUGGGCCUGUCCUGACGCUGAGGCACGAAAGCGUGGGGAGCAAACAGG